rnacentral:lncRNA from 1 species
CUUCCAAGGCAGAAGGAUCCUGAUGCUCUGCCAAGUGGGUGUCCCUUUACUGUGCUAUGGAUUGAUGCAGUGGCCAGGGCCACAGCCAGACAUAUCUUGGAGAAGGACUCCUUAACAAGCCUUGAGAGGACGCUGCUCUGCAUUGGAAGAAUCAGGUGGAGGAGGAACACCCUGACAUUCAUCUCCCGGGGAAUGGUCUCUCUACCCUGCAUCCACAUGGUGAAGCACUAUAGAAGAUUCUCCCCAUGGGUCAGAUUCUCUCCAGUGCCAGACUCCUCAAAGAAACGAUACCACCCAAAUCAUCUUGCAAACCACAUGGAAAAUUGGUAAGUGUGGGAGCACUGUAAUUUUAUUUCUCAUUUAAUCAGACUGUAAAUAUGUAAGCA